CCUACGGGGGGCUGCAGUGGGGAAUAUUGGACAAUGGGGGGAACCCUGAUCCAGCCAUGCCGCGUGUGUGAAGAAGGCCCUCGGGUUGUAAAGCACUUUCAGUGAGGAAGAACGCCUGGUGGUUAAUACCCAUCAGGAAAGACAUCACUCACAGAAGAAGCACCGGCUAACUCCGUGCCAGCAGCCGCGGUAAUACGGAGGGUGCGAGCGUUAAUCGGAAUUACUGGGCGUAAAGCGCGCGUAGGUGGCUUGAUAAGCCGGUUGUGAAAGCCCCGGGCUCAACCUGGGAACGGCAUCCGGAACUGGCUAGCUAGAGUGCAGGAGAGGAAGGUAGAAUUCCCGGUGUAGCGGUGAAAUGCGUAGAGAUCGGGAGGAAUACCAGUGGCGAAGGCGGCCUUCUGGACCGACACUGACGCUGAGGUGCGAAAGCGUGGGUAGCAAACAGGAUUAGAUACCCGGGUAGUC
rnacentral:rRNA from 1 species